rfam:Aedes albopictus isolate Foshan contig39670, whole genome shotgun sequence.
UGUUCUGUAGCUUAGUUGGUUAAAGCUCCGGACUAGCGAUAACGGAGUCGUGGGUUCGCAUCCCACCAAAACAA